AUUGAACGCUGGCGGCAUGCCUUACACAUGCAAGUCGAACGGCAGCAUGAUCUAGCUUGCUAGAUUGAUGGCGAGUGGCGAACGGGUGAGUAAUACAUCGGAACGUGCCCUGUAGUGGGGGAUAACUAGUCGAAAGAUUAGCUAAUACCGCAUACGACCUGAGGGUGAAAGUGGGGGGCCGCAAGGCCUCAUGCUAUAGGAGCGGCCGAUGUCUGAUUAGCUAGUUGGUGAGGUAAAGGCUCACCAAGGCGACGAUCAGUAGCUGGUCUGAGAGGACGAUAAGCCACACUGGGACUGAGACACGGCCCAGACUCCUACGGGAGGCAGCAGUGGGGAAUUUUGGACAAUGGGCGAAAGCCUGAUCCAGCAAUGCCGCGUGUGUGAAGAAGGCCUUCGGGUUGUAAAGCACUUUUGUCCGGAAAGAAAUGGCUCUGGUUAAUACCUGGGGUCGAUGACGGUACCGGAAGAAUAAGGACCGGCUAACUACGUG
rnacentral:rRNA from 1 species